UACGUAGGGGCCUAGCGUUGUCCGGAUUUAUUGGGCGUAAAGAGCUCGUAGGCGGUUUGGUAAGUCGGGUGUGAAAUCUCCACGCUCAACGUGGAGGGGCCACCCGAUACUGCCAUGACUGGAGUCCGGUAGGGGAGUGUGGAAUUCCCGGUGUAGCGGUGAAAUGCGCAGAUAUCGGGAGGAACACCGGUGGCGAAGGCGGUUCUCUGGGCAUGUCCUGACGCUGAGGAGCGAAAGUGUGGGGAGCGAACAGG
rnacentral:rRNA from 1 species